rnacentral:ribozyme from 13 species
UUUUUUUUUUUUUUUUUUUUUUUUUUUUUUUUUCUUC